rnacentral:rRNA from 1 species
UAGGCGGACGGGUGAGUAACGCGUGGAAAACCUGCCGUAUACUGGGGGAUAACACUUAGAAAUAGGUGCUAAUACCGCAUAAGCGCACAGCUUCGCAUGAAGCAGUGUGAAAAACUCCGGUGGUAUACGAUGGUUCCGCGUCUGAUUAGCUAGUUGGUGAGGUAAAAGCCCACCAAGGCAACGACCAGUAGCCGGCCUGAGAGGGUGAACGGCCACAUUGGGACUGAGACACGGCCCAGACUCCUACGGGAGGCAGCAG